UGUCUUAGGUCUCUUAUGUAGUAUUGUGGUCCCAGCCACCGUCCCCGCAAAAGGCCUUUUGCCGCUUGGUUCCUCCGCAUGCCGUACGGCAUCUCCACUGGCAGUGAGGUCUUCCAGAGAUCGAUGGAGCAUCUGUUUGCUGGGCAGCCAUGUAAGAUAGUGGACGACAUCCUGGUGUGGGGGACACACACUGGAUGAACACGAUGAGCGCCUCAAACAGGUCCUCAACAGGAUUAGGGCUGUCAACGUGAAGCUGAAUCCAGAGAAGUGCAGAUUCAGGCUCCAUAACAUUCCCUACGUCGGGCAACUUCUCACAGCCAACAGAGUGAAACCUGACCUGGAAAAGACAGGCCAUCAUGCAGAUGCCCAAGCCAGCAGAAAAGCAGACACUGCAGCACUUUCUGGGUCUGACUAACUAUCUAAGUUCACGCCACAAUACAGUGAGGUGAUGGGGCUCCUCUAUCAGGAUACUGAAUGAUGCUGUAAGGAGCAACAUGACACUGCCCUGACCAAACUGAAAGAGUUGCUGUCGAAGUACUGGAGCACCGGUUAGCUAUGAUGUGGGCAAACCAGUGAUGAUAUCUGCAGAUGCAUCCCAGCAUGGUCUCGGAGAAAUAUGUCUACAAAUAAAAUUGUAUUUGUCACAUGCUUCGUAAACAACAGUGGAAUGCUUACUUAUGGGCCCUUCCCAACAAUGCAGAGAGAAAAAUAUAGAAAAAGAAUAACACAAGGAACAAAUACACAAUGAAUAACAAUAACUUGGCUGUAUGCAGAGGGUACCAGUACCGAGUUGAUGUGCAGGGGUAAGAGGUACAGUUGAAGUCGGAAGUUUACAUACAACUCAGCCAAAUACAUUUAAACUCAGUUUUUCACAAUUCCUGACAUUUAAUCCUAUUAAAAUUCCCUGUCUUAGGUCAGUUAGAUCACCAGUUUAUUUUAAGAAUGUGAAAUGUCAGGAUAAUAGUAGAGAGAAUGAUUUAUUUCAGCUUUUAAUUCUUUCAUCACAUUCCCCCUGGAUCAGAAGUUUACAUACACUUAGUAUUUGGUAGCAUUGCCUUUAAAUUGUUUAACUUGGGUCAAACGUUCAGGUAGCCUUCCACAAGCUUUCCACAAUAAGUUUUGGUGAAUUUUGGCCCAUUCCUCCUGACAGAGCUGGUGUAACUGAGUCAGGUUUGUAGGCCUCCUUGCUCACACACGCUUUAUCAGUUCUGCCCACACAUUUUCUAUAGGAUUGAGGUCAAGGCUUGUGAUGGCCACUCCAAUACCUUGACUUUGUUGUCCUUAAGCCAUUUUGCCACAACUUUGGAAGUAUGGUUUGGGUCAUUGUCCAUUUGGAAGACCCAUUUGCGACCAAGCUUUAACUUCCUGACUGAUGUCUUGAGAUGUAGCUUCAAUAUAUCCACAUAAUUUUCCUUCCUCGUGUUGCCAUCUAUUUUGUGAAGAAGCACCAGUCCCUCCUGCAGCAAAGCACCCCCAGAGCAUGAUGCUGCCACCCCCAUGCUACACGGUUGGGAUGGUGUUCUUCGGCUUGCAAGCCUCCCCCUUUUUCCUCCAAACAUAACGAUGGUCAUUAUGGCCAAACAGUUGAAUUUUUGUUUCAUCAGACCAGAGGACAUUUCUCCAAAAAGUACGAUCUUUGUGCCCAUGUGCAGUUGCAAACCGUAGUCUGGCUUUUUUAUUGCAGUUUUGGAGCAGUGGCUUCUUCCUUGCUGAGCGGCCUUUCAGGUUAUGUCGAUAUAGGACUCGUUUUACUGUGGAUAUAGAUACUUUUGUACAGCAUGUUCACAAGGUCAUUUGCUGUUGUUCUGGAAUUGAUUUGCACUUUUCGCACCAAAGUACGUUCAUCUCUAGGAGACAGAAUGUGUCUCAUUCCAUGAGCGGUAUGACUGCUGCAUGGUCCCAUGGUGUUUAUACUUGCAUACUAUUGUUUGUACAGAUGAACGUGGUACCUUCAGGCAUUUGGAAUUUGCUCCCAAGGAUGAACCAGACUUGUGGAGGUCUACACUUUUUUUCUGAGGUCUUGGCUGAUAAUUUUUUUCCCCCCAUGAUAUCAAGCAAAGAGGCACUGAGUUUGAAGGUAGGCCUUGAAAUACAUCCACAGGUACACCUCCAAUUGACUCAAAUGAUGUCAAUUAGCCUAUCAGAAGCGUCUAAAGCCAUCACAUCAUUUUCUGGAAUUUUCCAAGCUGUUUAAAGGCACAGUCAACUUAGUGUAUGUGAACUUCUGACCCAUUGGAAUUUUGAUACAGUGAAAUAAUCUGUCUGUAAACAAUUGUUUGAAAAAUGUAUUGUGUCAUGCACAAAGUAGAUGUCCUAACUGACUUGCCAAAACUAUAGUUUGUUAACAAGAAAUUUGUGGAGUGGUUGAAAACUUCCAACUUCAACUGUAGGUAUUCAUCUUGAUGAUCGGAUAGUCUCGAACGGAGAUCAUCCAGUUCUCCAGUGACUGCACAUUCGCCAACAGAACCGAGGUCAAUGGCGGUCUAUUUGUUCACUGACGUAAUCUUGUUAGAAGGCCGCCUCGCCUGCUUAUUUUGCAUGGCCAUUUUCUCUUUCGAGUCCAGGGGAUUAGGGCCUGUUCCAGUGUAAUCACUGUUCUGAUGUCCAGAAGCCGUUUUAGGUCAUAGACAUUAUGUAAGGACAGACAAAAAACACGCAAAAUGGCAGAAUUGGUCAGGAGCCCAUAAAAACUCUGCUUCCCUUAUCAGUGGCUCCAUCUCCGAUGAGCGAAGUGCCAGAGACACACCUGCUGCAGGGGUUGGAUUGAAUUUGGCUACCAGAGGAUUCAGUAUGCAUGCAAAGCGCUCAUGCAGUGACUACAGGAGGACCUAUGCCAACUGUUUUACAACAGUAGUUGACUGCAAGUGUGCCUCAAGUUUGAGCAGGCACGGCACCACCUCAGAUAGUGACUGGCUGCUGAUGUUUCAAAUAGGCCUAGCUUGUGAAUCACUAUCACUAGCUAUCACUAGCUAACAUGGGAAAAAAAUCAUAGGGCGAGCACAGCCUGUAGUGUGGUUUUCCACUUUAAUUUUGAGUGUGACUCCAAAUCCAGACCUCCAUGGGUUGAUCAAUUGGGUUUCCAUUGAUUAUUUUUGUGUGAUUUUGUUGUCAGCACAUUCAACUAUGUAAAGAAAAAAGUAUUUAAUAAGAUUUUUUAUUUCAUUCAGAUCUAGGAUGUGUUGUUUAAGUGUUCCCUUUAUUUUUUUGAGCAGUAUAUAUAGUGAAUGUAGGCUGUGUGCCAUUUUUAAAUGUAUGUCGUUUUUUCUUGUUCUAGUCUAUUAAUGUUCUGUAUGUCAUGUUUUCUGCUUUCACAACAGCUAAUACAGAGCCUAAUAAAAUACCAAAUAAAUCAACAGAAUGAUCAAUACAUCAUCAACAAUCUAGUUGACAUCGGUAAAGUUCUCUCUUUCAUUUUUGCUUCUCUCACCGAGUGAGGACGUUUAUUGAUGGAGAUUUCCAAGUGACAUCAGCUGGACCGGUUUACAGGAAAUAAAAAUCUGUAAAAACAAUCCCACAUGUUUCUGAAAGUAUUUUAGUUUGUUUGGAUGCAUAUUUUAUGUGGUUGAAAAUGAAAUACCGUCAGCUUUUAUGUCGCUGAAAGAAAUUGCGAGUUUAGGCUACACAAUAGCUCCCUGAGUGCGCAAUCGCAUUCUGUCAAGAUGCUGAAAUAAAUAAAUGAUAUUUCUCCAAA
rnacentral:lncRNA from 1 species